UACGUAGGUGGCAAGCGUUGUCCGGAUUUAUUGGGUUUAAAGGGUGCGUAGGCGGGCCUGUAAGUCAGUGGUGAAAUACUCCAGCUUAACUGGAGGGGUGCCAUUGAUACUGCAGGGCUUGAGUGGAGUCGAAGUAGGCGGAAUUGACGGUGUAGCGGUGAAAUGCUUAGAUAUCGUCAAGAACACCGAUAGUGAAGACAGUUUACUAGGCUUCUACUGACGCUGAGGCACGAAAGUGUGGGGAUCAAACAGG
rnacentral:rRNA from 1 species